UACGUAGGGGGCAAGCGUUGUCCGGAAUCAUUGGGCGUAAAGAGCGCGUAGGCGGUCCGGUAAGUUCGCUGUGAAAGUCAAGGGCUCAACCCUUGAAUGCCGGUGGAUACUGUCGGGCUAGAGUCCGGAAGAGGCGAGUGGAAUUCCUGGUGUAGCGGUGAAAUGCGCAGAUAUCAGGAGGAACACCAAUGGCGAAGGCAGCUCGCUGGGACGUGACUGACGCUGAGACGCGAAAGCGUGGGGAGCAAACAGG
rnacentral:rRNA from 1 species